rnacentral:tRNA from 1 species
GAUGGACCCUAAAAAGCCCCCUAAACAU